rnacentral:lncRNA from 1 species
CCAAAGUGCUGGAAUUACAGGCGUGAGCCACCGUGCCUGGCCCCUUGGUAACAUAUAUCACAUCUUUAUCUUUGGUUACUUAUAUCACACCUACUAUGAGAUCACAAUCUCUUUCAGUAUAAGACCCACUCCCCAACCCACACUAAGUAGAAUGCCUUGAAUACUAUUGGGCGCUAAAAUAUUUGAAGGUAGAAAAGUGACAAAAGGAAAGAGAAGGAGACUUAAGGCCUGGAGGUGCUGCAGCCAUCUUAUAACCAUUAAGGGGCAGCCUGUUCUAAGAAGCCAAAAUAAUAGAAAAGAACAGAGACUGGCGAGAAGAAGAGAAGCAGGGACAUGAAGUGACAGUUUGAAACGUUGCAUCCUGACACAUCUGAAGACAUCCCUCAUGUGCAGACUUUUCAGUAAUGUAAAGUGGAAAGUGGGCAAGGCCAAGGUCAUGCUACAGAAUGUGACUGAGCAACAGGGGGAUCACUUCAGCUGGGAUGGGAAAGGAAAGCCUCCAGGAGGAGUUGACAUCGAAUCACAGUUGAAUCCUAAGAAGUCAGUCUUGCAAAGAUCUAGGAAAGAAACAGCUAAGUUUCUAAGGAUACAUUCUUCGUAUUCCAGAAAAUUGGAAGUUAAAACUGUCAUGAGAAUGACCUUAGAACUGUGACUGUAAAACCAGGUAAGAUAUGGAAGACAUGCAAAAUCCAGGUGGGUUUUAUUUUAAAAUAGUUAAACAUUUAAAAUACUUAAAAAUUGUGGCCUGCCAAACAAAAAGAAUAAAAGAACACAGGACAGAAUCAAGUAACAGAUUAAAUAAAAUAAGUCAGCCAAACAUCCUGGGUGUGGGGCUGAAGGCCCAUCACACAGGAGGAUUCAGUGAUGGGGAACUUGAGUCCACAGGUGGCAGGCUUGGAGAACAGCUCACUGGGAAGGCAAGGCCUAGAGUCACUACUGGCAGAGGUAAUACAACUAGGCUCAACUUAUCCCAAUUUCAUGAGAAAAAUCACCCAGACAUCUAUAGCUCUAGAUCCCACAUGUUUUCACAAGAUUCAAUCUCAGUUAUCUGAGAACAUGACCCCAAAUUGGCUUUAAAAGAGUAACCUCUAGCCAGGCGUAGUGGUGGGCACUUGUAAUCCCAGCUACUUGGGAG